rnacentral:rRNA from 1 species
AUUGAACGCUGGCGGCAGGCCUAACACAUGCAAGUCGAGCGGAUGAAGGGAGCUUGCUCCUGGAUUCAGCGGCGGACGGGUGAGUAAUGCCUAGGAAUCUGCCUGGUAGUGGGGGAUAACGUCCGGAAACGGGCGCUAAUACCGCAUACGUCCUGAGGGAGAAAGUGGGGGAUCUUCGGACCUCACGCUAUCAGAUGAGCCUAGGUCGGAUUAGCUAGUUGGUGGGGUAACGGCCUACCAAGGCGACGAUCCGUAACUGGUCUGAGAGGAUGAUCAGUCACACUGGAACUGAGACACGGUCCAGACUCCUACGGGAAGCAGCGGUGGGGAAUAUUGGACAAUUGGCGAAAGCCUGAUCCAGCCAUGCCGCGUGUGUGAGGAAGGUCUUCGGGUUGUAAAGCACUUUAAGUUGGGAGAAAGGGCAGUAAGUUAAUACCUUGCUGUUUUGACGUUACCAACAGAAUAAGCACCGGCUAACUUAGUG